rnacentral:sRNA from 1 species
UGGUGCGAAAGCAACAUGACAAGUUUGAACUUCAAAUGAAAUGUCAGCACAAAUGGAGAUGACUUGACAAGAGCAUGAGUAGACAAAGCAAGAUCACUUGGAUGUAGAUAGUAGCAUCUCUUCACCAUAAAAUCAGUCUUUAGUGUGACAACUUUUCAGGUUCUUUUGACCUAUUUGUCUCACGAAGAAACCGAGUUUUCUUUAUCUGGUUUAACUCCCCUAAGCUGUCCCAUGAAGAAGAAGAAUUCUCUUCCCACAACUACUUAGAUCCUACUUGCUAUCUGCUUUUUAUUCUUUAGCCAACCACAAUUUGCAUUUACACAAUCUGUUUUUCUCUUUGACA